CCUACGGGGGGCAGCAGUAGGGAAUCUUCGGCAAUGGACGAAAGUCUGACCGAGCAACGCCGCGUGAGUGAAGAAGGCUUUCGGAUCGUAAAACUCUGUUGGUAGAGAAGAACGUUGGUGAGAGUGGAAAGCUCAUCCAGUGACGGUAACUACCCAGACAGGGACGGCUAACUACGUGCCAGCAGCCGCGGUGAUACGUAGGAUCCGAGCACUAUCCGGAGUGACUGGGUGUAAAGAGUUGCGUAGGUUGGAUAAUAAGUAGCUAGUGGAAUCUGGUGGCUCAACCAUUCAGACUAUUAGCUAAACUGGUAAUCUUGAGACCGUUAGGGGUAACUGGAAUUUCUAGUGUAGGAGUGAAAUGCGUAGAUAUUAGAAGGAACACCAAUAGCGUAGGCAGGUUGCUGGGACGGUUCUGACACUAAGGCACGAAAGCGUAGGGAGCAAACGGGAUUAGAUACCCUAGUAGUC
rnacentral:rRNA from 1 species